rnacentral:rRNA from 1 species
CACGUAGUUAGCCGUGACUUUCUGGUUGGAUACCGUCACUGCGUGAACAGUUACUCUCACGCACGUUCUUCUCCAACAACAGAGCUUUACGAGCCGAAACCCUUCUUCACUCACGCGGUGUUGCUCCAUCAGGCUUGCGCCCAUUGUGGAAGAUUCCCUACUGCUGCCUCCCGUAGGAGUAUGGACCGUGUCUCAGUUCCAUUGUGGCCGAUCAGUCUCUCAACUCGGCUAUGCAUCAUCGCCUUGGUAAGCCGUUACCUUACCAACUAGCUAAUGCACCGCAGGUCCAUCCCAGAGUGAUAGCCAAAGCCAUCUUUCAAACAAAAGCCAUGUGGCUUUUGUUGUUAUGCGGUAUUAGCAUCUGUUUCCAAAUGUUAUCCCCCGCUCCAGGGCAGGUUACCUACGUGUUACUCACCCGUCCGCCACUCACUGGUGAUCCAACGUCAAUCAGGUGCAAGCACCAUCAAUUAGUUGGGCCAGUGCGUACG